GAUUAUAAUAGUUUUGAAACAAUGAUAAUGAAAGUUUUUUCAUCGUUCUAAAUUUAUGCUACAGUUAUGGUCGUAAAAGAUUAAGAAAAAUCUUAUGGGUGCAAUUAUUCCACUGACACCUGCGAAAUUACCAAAAGAACUGACCAUCGCUGUUUAUUGUAUUUUUUUUAAAUGUUCUAGUUAAACAAUCUAACACUUAA